UUGAUCGUUGUUGAGUACUAUAAAUGUUACUGAACGCAACGUAUAUACUCAACAGGUGUAUGUGACAUUAAAAAGGAAAAAAAAAACCAUUCAUGAGAUUAAACAUCGUUUGCGUCGUUAUUUCCAAAACACAAUGAUUCUCGUCGAUGGUAAUCCUGGCUGAGUAAGGAUUCUAUACGUAAUCGUUAUCUUUCCGACUUCGCGGCGAAGAUAAAAAGUGUCGGAAAAAAAAUUCAUUAAAGAAGAGGGUUGGACGUAUUCGAGAAUGCAGAAUGGCGGUUACCAAUCCGUCAACGGAGAAUUUAAUUUUGUUACGCCGAAGAAAGGAAUGCUAUUGGUCGAAAGAGAAAGGGAAAGAAAACGAGGAAGAAAAUUGAGCUUGGCCGUCACUUUGCAGUGGAAUUUGAAAACGAAGACGGUCGUCCGCGAAAGAGUUCGAUCUUUUGUCAAUUAGAAUGAAACGUUCGAAUUCUUAGGAACCUUCGGGGAUCGAUCCAUCUCCGAAAAAAUUCAUUUAAUGAAGAAGAUAAAAAUGAAGAAAUUCCUUCGUUCGAGGUUCGUUCGUAUUUACAAUAUUUAACAUUUUUUACGAAUUUCAUUAACGAUCAAACAAAUUUGCAUUGAAACGAUCGAGGAUAAUACAGGAAAGUGGGAGAAAAUUCGAGAUAAAGCGUGGUGGAUCCCCUACGAGGCGUUGACAUGUUCGAUAAAUAAUCCAGAUCAAAUUUGUUGCCAGGAUUAAAACGAAUACCGCUGCGAUUGUUGUCAAAUGAAACGUUGCACGCGCUCCAGAAAUGCGCGCGUGCUUUGCUCCGCAUUUGAUAUUUUUCGAAAGGUUCUUUUUGCGCAAAUAAAUGCCUCUGAAUAUUG